rnacentral:misc_RNA from 1 species
AACACUGUUAACCUGCGGUACCUGCGGAAGGAUCAUUACUGUGAUUUACUACUACACUGCGUGAGCGGAACGAAAACAACAACACCUAAAAUGUGGAAUAUAGCAUAUAGUCGACAAGAGAAAUCUACGAAAAAACAAACAAAACUUUUAACAACGGAUCU